rnacentral:lncRNA from 1 species
CUUUAAAAUCCUUAAAGGUAGUCAAAUGACCUUCAGGAGGGUUCGGGUUUACAGGCGGUGCGGUAUUCCUCCCUUGAAGUGCUUGAGUUAAUAAGUCGAUAAAUUGCUGCAUAGGAUUUUUAGGUUCUGCCGAGUUAUUCACAGACUCCUCUUGCGUUGAUGGGGUUGGUGCCUCAAGUCUUCCUCUUCCUCUUCCUCUCCAUCUCGGUGGCAUUUUCUGUACAAUACAAGUUUUUUACUUCUUUAUUAUUUAAUAGAUAUAUUAAUGCUCAUUGUAUCAAAUAUAC